ensembl:lncRNA
AUUUAUUAUAAUACUCUAAUUUCAGCGAGGUCUUGAUCCAUACUGACAACGAGAACAUUGGAAUUCAUUCUCCUUAAAAAAUAAACAAACAAACAACAACAACAAGGGAGUGGGAAGGAUUUUCAUUCAUGACUGACUGGGAGACUGGGAAAGAAAACAAAAACCAUGAAGAGAUUCAUGGUGGGGAAUCACCUGUAUCUAUCCAGUCUUCACUGAGAAAGCACACAGAAGUUAUUUCACCUGUUGACCUCCAAAAAAAAAAAAAAGGGAAGCAACUGCAGGCAAAGGAAAAGUUUGGAGCCUGGGGAAGUGUAAGAAAGAAAAACAAGUACAAAACAAAGCAUGACAAACUGCAGACUAUGGUUGCAUGUGCUUCCAGGCUCAGUGUGUCUCAUUGGAAAAAAAGAGUACUGCGUAGUGAAUUACAUGGAUGUGGGACUUCAGUCUUUAUUAUUUACACCAACUUAAAUCACACUUGUGGCUUUUUUUCUGCUGAAGGAAAUAUGUAACAAAGUGAAUAAGAUAAGAAUUCCUUAAGAGAAGAAAGACUGCCAUAUCAUUCUGUGACUCCUCAGAAUAUUUCAUUACUAAGUGCCUUUGGUCUGUGAAGUUUGUAAGCACUACAUUUGCAGUGCUAAGGCUUAUCCAGCUAGUCGUGGUUUGCAGCAGCAGGUUUCUCCUCAUUUGCUCUUCCAAAGAACUUCUGAAGAUAUCCUAAUUCAGACUACACACCACUUAAACCGUAGUACAGGACAAAUCACUACAAAUUUGUUCUACUGGGUAGCAAUUUCAACUGAAGCUCAUAGUCAAACACUAUAUACAAAUGCAAUUAUUCAGUACAGUCAAGGGAUGAUGACCUUAUGAUCAAACUACAUACCAACAGAAAUAUGCUGUCUCUGAAUCUUUAGCUAGUGCCACUUCUUUAUAUUGAGAUAAGUUUAUGGUCGCAGAAAAGUUGAUCUUUACGCAAUCCUUUCUCCACUGGUCCAGUGAACCGAACCUACCUUCUGGAGCCUGUAAUUAUGGGUCCUAAUGCUUUUCAUUCUCAGGCAUUCUCCAGUGUCCUCAGAGACUAUCAGGCUCUGGUUCUGCACCAAUGCUUCUCAAAACCUUUAGGACACAUUGAAAUUAUGUCCAAAUCCAAAAGAAAUGACUGAUGUGGCUCAAAGGUUGACAGUGCUAGGGUUACGCAACUGAAUUCUUACAGCUCUUUGGUUUGAUGCCACUAGGAAAAGACAAACAUCCAGAUUUGAUGUCUUUUGAUGCCCAGAGUUGAUGUCUUUUGAUGUCUUUUUAACUGCCACAGUUGGUCAAUCUUAAUUUCAUUGACAGAAGUGCAAAGUGAGACUGUAUUUAAGAGCUGCACUAUAGCUGUUCUGAUUUACACCAGUAUCAGUGAGAUUUAAGGAAUGAUCUUUCACAUUGUUGAGCUACAGGAUGCUUCAUGUUAGCUGUCUAGAUAACGAAAAAUAUCAUGGUUUUCCUGAAUGAAAACAUACCAGUUGAGGAACUUGUCCUUACACCUCGCCACUGCUCAACGUAAGAAAACAAAUCACAUUUGUGGAAUGUUUGUGAUUCACCCCAUAUCAACAAUGUUAACAUGGAGCUACAAAGCACUAGAUUUUGUAGAUGGGUAUUAAAAAAAGCAGGAGGCCUUUGGACAACUUUUUAGUUAAGUGCUUUGCCCAGUGACAGGUGCUUUUGCAAUCACCCCUUCUCCUCACCUUACGGUCUACCACAGUAUGUAUCAGAGAUCUCUGGGAAGGGAAACUAUCACACCUAAUGCAUUUGGACAAGUCUAGCAUGUGUGCAAAUUAAUAAGAAUGGCUUAUUCUAUUCUUUAUUUUGUUUUGCAAGGGUUGCCUUGCAUUUUUGCAACCUGCACAUCUGCUUCCCUGCUCUAACUAAUGAUAAUGGAUCUAGCAGAAUGCAAAGAACACAAUAUUCCCUCAAGUGCAUUUUUUUUUUUUUUUAUGGGGGAAUCUCCUACUGAAAGAUAGAAACCUAAAUCAACUUCUUAAAAUAGAGAAUAGAUUCAUUAUUAAAUUCUCCUCUUCAGACACUGGAGGAAUCCACAAAUGCAACACAGGAAAGGAACUGAGAGUUGGAAAGAGCACUGCAAGUAAUCCUUUGCAAAACUCGUGGUUAAACUGUGAGAAGAAAAUUUCUGAUUUAAGAAUAUGUAUUUUUGCCUCUAGUAUAAAAUAAAAAUAAAAUAAUAAAAAAUAAAAAAUAAAAUAAACAGCAAAUAUUAAACACCUCAUAGUAACAGUUGCCUGGCAUACUGCAUGACAGUUAACUCUGUAAGAAGGGCACAUCUUGACUUCAUUUUGUCUUCUAACUUUGCCUUUCUCUUCUAAAGUAGUCUUUAAACAUUUUUAUCUAAACUAUACAAAGCAAAAAAGGAAAAGCUGUAGUAAUGCACUGCUGAAUAAAAAACAAACAAAAAACCAAACAACAUUCAAAUACUUCUACUAUCCUGUUUCAAUGACCUUUAUGAAUAAAGGAAUGACUGUAUUAAUAAAAGUUCCCAUAGAACAUUUUUUUGCAAGUCUUUACAUGAGAUUGUAUCAGUAACCAGAUUUAUAGACCAGUCUCUGGCUGCAAACACACUGUGCAUCCUUUCUACAUGAAGAACAAAUUCCCUCUCUUUUUACACUAGCACAAAACACUGGCACUCAGCAGCACAGUAGCAGCAAAUGCAGAUGUUGUGUGAUAAUGAACAUAGAUAAAGCAGAAUCUCCACAGAAAAGCAAUAUUACAAGUGCAGCUGGUGAUGCUGCUCAUCAGCUGUCUGUUCAGAAGUAGUGCAGAACUUGUACUUUGAUCCCGGAAGCUGCCAAGACUUUUGCAUGGGGUUCAACGCCGCUCAGUUUUGACACUGAGAACAGAAACAUUAUUUUGAUGUCUUUCCACGUUUUUGGUAAGGACUCUCUACAAAGCCUGAUACAGAACAUACGUGUUAAAUCUUUACACAUCUUGUGCAGGUACUCCUACAAAGCACCUUUUUCCUGCUCUCUAUCCAGUACAGUAACAUCUAAUGUCUUAAAGAUGAAAAAGAAUCCAAAUAAGACAUUAUUUAUUUUUUUCUGUGAUAUCUUCCCUUUGGGAAAAGAGAUUGCUCGUGUUCAGCUCUGUCUAUGAGCUAAUGCUAGACUUCAAACCACCCUCACCUCAAUUGUAGCAUUUAUUAACUUUACAUAUAAGGUUUAUGACUUCUAGAUUAGUAAAUUAUGUAGUAAGGCCUUGUAAUAGAUUUAAUUGUGUUAAUUUUAGUUGAAUUAUAUGGUGUGUUGAUUCUGUGAAGAACUCUGUUGCGCAAACCACGAAGUAAAGAUGCUAUUAAGUUUUUAAGAGCCUAUUCCAAACAUUGCUGUGCUUAUGAAUCAGCAAGUAUUCCUGCACAGCACUGAGUACCAAAAUCUACCCUGCGUGAAGAUGGUGAGUAUGGUCACAUCCAUGCAGACAGAAAAGUUCAUUAUUUCACAAUUGGUGUAUAUUAAUUUAAUAAAAAGGUCACAUUGAAAUUCCCAAGAUUCCAGUUCUCAACUACACAGAUCUUUUGCUAUAACUGGAAUUACUGGAGGAACACUGCAAUUUUCCAUCAGAUGAAACAAUGAGUAUUGACUUUUAAUAAGCUGUUGAAUAUUUCAGCACUUCUGAAAUAUGAACUCAACAGCUUAUAGGAUCAGUGCUCCUGUUUGCAAUUUGCUGUCAGAUACAAAGGGAUUGUUCUAAUAUGUUUGGUAUUACCAUCAGCUAAUCCUUUUCUGAUUUCUGUAUGUCACAAGAAAGUGAAAUAAAACUAUGGGAUGUUGUUUUAUGAGCAAUGCAAUAAUAAAGACCCAAAUAAGGCUUUUCUUAAAACCAACUUAGCCUUCAAAUAGCAGCUUAAGGAAUGCUCUCUGGAAUCUAACCUAUAAUGACUCAAGACCCAGUUUUCCCAGGAAAAGGUUUGAAUCAGUGUAUCAGCAUUAAACCUUUAGGCUAGGAUUCAGAAUGUACUUUCUCUUUUUACUGUAUAUGUAUAGGAUGUUUUUAGCUUAGUGCAUUAAUAGGACAACACAAUAAAGGAGGAUUAUGAUCCUUGUUCCGUAUUUUGCUCAAAAUUUAUAGGAUAUUUGGAAAAGAACAAUUUUGAUUUCCUAAUUCCUACUAAUAAAGGAGAAACAUGAGGUCCAUUUUGGAUUUUAUUUAGCUUAACAAUAAUAAUAAGGAUAAUAUUCAAAAUAAUGGCUUAAAUUUAGGAGCCCAAAAUGUUGUUCAAUUCUCAAAAUAAACUCUGCAUUUUGUGAAGCAUCUCCACAUGCAAUAAAGAAGUCAAUGGCAUGACAAAAACUUAAAACUGAAGUUUUACUGUAAAAGUGAAAAAGAAGCGUUUUUAGCUCACUUUGUUAACACCUCUGGCUGACGUUCAGCUGACAUGCUGGAGGACACAGCCAGCAGUGCUUUGGUAGUGGUAUCAGAUUAGCGUGCAAUUCAUGCUGCUGUCUCGUACAUCUAUUAGACUGAGAGUACUGGAAAUUUCAGAGUCACGUUGUUUGAACUGUACCCUCUAACUGAAAGAAAUCAAGCCAGAAAAUAAAGGAGAUGGCUUGCAAAAUGAAAUUCUCAGGAAAAAAAGAAGUGCAUUCUGAGCAAGUCAAACUCUUUAAUUUUAGGUUAGAUUGCUCGCGCCUCACCUGACUGUAGGAAAUUUGAAAACACCGACACACAUUAUGAAAUAGAAAAAUAUUUGGCCAAAACAGACCUUGCUCAGAGGUCACAUCUUACUGUGCUUUGGUAAAUCUUGGACAAAUUACAGGUUUUCUGAUGAAAACAAUUUCAGCUGGAAAAUUUCUACCUAGGUUCACUGAGCUGCUGCUUCUUUCCACCUUUUUUUGGCAGAAUGAACACCAGACAAUAGCUAUAAUAGCUAUAAUAGUUUGGCCUUCUGGACAUUCAUAUACCACACAGCAUUUACUAUGUUUUGUUGCUUAUUAUAGCCAAAGUAUAACUCCUUUGGAUUUGGAUCAAUCAUUUGGCCUUUCUUCCUCAGAGUUAUGAAACUUCUCCCUUGAUUGCUAACUUCAGGACUUUAGGGAAUGGAUAGACAUGAGUGGCAACAGCAGCAAGUGGUGCUCAGUAUUAGUGGGAAAAUAAGGCUCAGGGAAACCAUAAAACACAAAUAAAUACCUGGCAAUAAAGAGACAACACAGUAUAGAAGAUGAAAAUGAUUUCUUAGUGAAAUGGAUCUUGAAGCAUGAGCCUGGUACUAAGGCACAGUGUUUGGUAGGGAGAGUAAAUUAAAUUUUACUUUUAAAUUUUAGUCCAUGCAUCUUUAAAGAAAAAAAGAAAAAAAGAAGUGCAGAUAAAACAGGCAUCAGCCAUUAUAAAACAUGGAACAAGACGGUCUUUUAAACAACAGGCUUUCACAAACCCAUAUUUUAAUGUGGCUUGUCCUGGGAUAAUAUAGUAUAUCAGUGGUUCUCAGAUUCUUUCACAGCACAGAUCAUCUUUUAGGCAAAACUGCCUAAACUGUCUUGGACCCCUCACCCUUGCAAUGACAUUCCUAACCAGACCUGCACACACCCUACUAGCAAUCAACCUAUGAGUGCAUAUGCACAGACUCACAUAAAACAUUGAUCAGCAACAAAAGAAAAUUACUCUCUUACCUCAUGAGUCCAGGCAUUUUCUUGGGACUCCUGCUUCACUUUUCUAUAGCUUUUGCCUGCAAAAACGGCAGCAUCAUCCCCAUGGUUCAGCCUUGCAGAUGCCAUCUGUGGUGUCCUGUAAUCACUGAAGGGCUCCUACAGUUCCUGGGAUGGAGCAGAGCAGCAGUUAGGACAGCAUUCCUGGUGGCUGAACUGCACACCUGAGCCCCUGCUCAGCAACAGGCUGAGAGCCGCCGGAACUCUGCGACUCAGUGACCAGAAAGAGCCAGCUACAAACCCCAUUUCUGACAGUAAAGGCUUAUUCUGUUCUUCCUUGGUUUUAAACAUGUAAUUCAAUGUAGCAAUUAAUUAAUUCUUUAAGUAAUUAAUUACUAACUGCUAAGGAAUUAUUGUAACGCUGUAUGUAGAAGUAAUAAAAUUACUUAAGGGUUUCAGAAAAUUCUUCAAGAAAGCAAUUAUUAGUAGUUGUAGUCAAAAUUAUUUGUUAUAUUAAUUACCAGUAAUCUCUGCCUAGGCAUAAUUAGACAAAGUAAUCUUACAGUGGUGCAACAUAAUUAUGUCACUAAUGAGAGAAAUAACAGAUUAUUUUACAUAAAUUUGUCAUAUUAUAUGCUUAAGAGCUUGCUGAAGAACUGAAG